CUUAAAGGGGCAGUGUCCCAAACAAGUCUGGGGACACCGUCUUAAAGGGGCAGUGUCCCAAUCUUCCCGAUGCCCCAAAAAGGUGCUUAAAGGGCCAGCACCAGUCCCAUAAAGAGUCCAUAAGCCCCAAUAUGCCCACCGACUGUCUUAAAGGGCCAUACACACCCAAUAAAAGUCCAUAAGUUUUCACAAUCUCCCAGGGGCCAUAGUCAUGCGGGAGGAGGCUGGCAAAUAGGCUUCUCCACAACCCAG